GUGGGGAAUAUUGGACAAUGGGGGGAACCCUGAUCCAGCCAUGCCGCGUGUGUGAAGAAGGCCUUUUGGUUGUAAAGCACUUUAAGCGAGGAGGAGGCUACCGAGAUUAAUACUCUUGGAUAGUGGACGUUACUCGCAGAAUAAGCACCGGCUAACUCUGUGCCAGCAGCCGCGGUAAUACAGAGGGUGCAAGCGUUAAUCGGAUUUACUGGGCGUAAAGCGCGCGUAGGUGGCCAAUUAAGCCAAAUGUGAAAUCCCCGAGCUUAACUUGGGAAUUGCAUUCGAUACUGGUUGGCUAGAGUAUGGGAGAGGAUGGUAGAAUUCCAGGUGUAGCGGUGAAAUGCGUAGAGAUCUGGAGGAAUACCGAUGGCGAAGGCAGCCAUCUGGCCUAAUACUGACACUGAGGUGCGAAAGCAUGGGGAGCAAACAGGAUUAGAAACCCCUGUAGUCC
rnacentral:rRNA from 1 species